AGAGUUUGAUCCUGGCUCAGGACGAACGCUGGCGGCGUGCCUAACACAUGCAAGUCGAGCGGGGACAUACGACGGAGUCAAAGUUUUCGGAUGGAGACGAAGAUGUAUGUUCUAGCGGCGGACGGGUGAGUAACGCGUGAGCAACCUGUCCCUUACAGGGGGAUAACACAGCGAAAGUUGUACUAAUACCGCAUAAGACCACGGGAGGACAUCCUCCAGGGGUCAAAGGAGCAAUCCGGUAAGGGUGGGCUCGCGUCCGAUUAGAUAGUUGGUGAGGUAAACGGCCCACCAAGUCGACGAUCGGUAGCCGACCUGAGAGGGUGAUCGGCCACAUUGGGACUGAGACACGGCCCAAACUCCUACGGGAGGCAGCAGUGGGGAAUAUUGGGCAAUGGGGAAACCCUGACCCAGCAACGCCGCGUGAGGGAAGAAGGUUUUCGGAUCGUAAACCUCUGUCCCUAGGUGAAGAGUAAGAGACGGUAGCCUAGGGAGGAAGCCCGGCUAACUACGUGCC
rnacentral:rRNA from 1 species